rnacentral:tRNA from 1 species
UUCUGUUGUCGCCGAGGUCCAGCCCGCAACGCUGAUCCUCGCGGAUGACAACCAGACCAACCGCCUG